GCCCAGAUAGCUUAACUAAAGCAUCGGUCUUGUAAACCGAAGAUUGUAAAUUAAACCAUGCUCAGGGCU
rnacentral:tRNA from 1 species